rnacentral:rRNA from 1 species
AGUGAACGCUGGCGGUAGGCCUAACACAUGCAAGUCGAACGGCAGCACAGUAAGAGCUUGCUCUUACGGGUGGCGAGUGGCGGACGGGUGAGGAAUACAUCGGAAUCUACUUUUUCGUGGGGGAUAACGUAGGGAAACUUACGCUAAUACCGCAUACGACCUACGGGUGAAAGCAGGGGAUCUUCGGACCUUGCGCGAUUGAAUGAGCCGAUGUCGAAUUAGCUAGUUGGCGGGGUAAAGGCCCACCAAGGCGACGAUCCGUAGCUGGUCUGAGAGGAUGAUCAGCCACACUGGAACUGAGACACGGUCCAGACUCCUACGGGAGGCAGCAGUGGGGAAUAUUGGACAAUGGGCGCAAGCCUGAUCCAGCCAUACCGCGUGGGUGAAGAAGGCCUUCGGGUUGUAAAGCCCUUUUGUUGGGAAAGAAAAGCAGCAGGUUAAUACCCCGCUGUUCUGACGGUACCAAAAGAAUAAGCACCGGCUAACUUCGUG